rnacentral:rRNA from 1 species
GUGGGGAAUAUUGGACAAUGGGCGCAAGCCUGAUCCAGCCAUGCCGCGUGAGUGAUGAAGGCCUUAGGGUUGUAAAGCUCUUUCAGUGGGGACGAUAAUGACGGUACCCACAGAAGAAGCCCCGGCUAACUUCGUGCCAGCAGCCGCGGUAAUACGAAGGGGGCUAGCGUUGUUCGGAUUUACUGGGCGUAAAGCGCACGUAGGCGGAUCGUUAAGUCGGGGGUGAAAUCCUGGAGCUCAACUCCAGAACUGCCUUCGAUACUGGCGAUCUUGAGUCCGGAAGAGGUGAGUGGAACUCCUAGUGUAGAGGUGGAAUUCGUAGAUAUUAGGAAGAACACCAGUGUCGAAGGCGGCUCACUGGUCCGGUACUGACGCUGAGGUGCGAAAGCGUGGGGAGCAAACAGGAUUAGAUACCCCGGUAGUCC